GUAUUUGUAGCCUGGCUAGCAAACCAGCAUUUCAUCUCCGAGGAAGUUAUCCCAGAGAGAAGUAAAGCAAGUGUCACCACAGGGAGGCAGGCAGGUUUCCCUUUUCACCAGUCCUGUUGGACUCACGGAUCACUCAACUCAGGAAUGGGCUCACACUCACCCAGAGCUUCUCUCACCGACCCUCCUCUCAUGUGUGCCUCUCCCUGCAAACAAAAGAAGGAGCAGAUUCCAGAACCACAGCAAAACCACGAAGGGGUUGGUGAGAAUCCAGGAAGCACCACACUGAACGGAUCUGGUCAAUAAAGAGGGACACGGAUGUGACCUAAAAGACGCAUAGAUCCCAGAGAAUCGCCCGUCCCAGAAGAUUAGUUGUUUACACUGUAGAGAAGGUCAAAAGCACGUCAGACAGAGGUUAUAGUGUGAGCACAAAGUAAUGAAAAGUAAUGGGAGGAUUAGCUUUAGGAAUAGUUUGUAUGAUUUUUAUGUUAUGUCCAUUGCCCAAACACAGUGGUCAUGCCGGAGAUGGUCUACCCAUUAAAGGGGGACAAAGGGACAAUUAAGUGAACUGUAAGUUGUGUGCUGAGAAACCAGGAGUGCUUUUUAAAGAAGAAACGGGUUAACUCUAUAGAGACUGUUUCCACAGAUUGACAAAAUAAUCUAGGACCUUUUAUUAGGAAAAGCUAAUUAUAUCUGUUUGGAUUUUACCGUGAGCAGUGAGGGAAGUCAGAAGCGGGUUUAAACUAUCAUGCUGGGUGAAAAGGGGGUGUUAGGAAGUAAAGGUAGGACAGCUCACAGCCCUGUCUUGGAGCUUGAUUUAUUUGUUUGAUUUAUUUGUUGUGGAUAGAAGUAAUUAUGCCACAAUAAUAAGGGAACACUGAAAAUACACAACCCGUUGAGGGGACGGAUGACAUAUAUGGUUGGGCAAUAGAAAGGUUUCAUUUUGUUUAGUAUGAUUUCUUUUGUUAAAUUCUUAGCUAUUAUUCUCACAUGCAAGUAAAGUUAAUGGGAUAACUCAUGAAUUAGUUCAUCUCUCAGUUAGAGAGAUGAAAAAGGGGGAAGUUUUUAAGGUAAAAUAUAUAUUCUUAGUGCUUAUUUGCUGUUUAUAUUGUUUUAGGUAGGCCAGUAGAUUGGGAAAGUCAGAAAGUAUGCUAAAGGUCACAAAGUGUAAGACAGGAAACUGCAGGAGACGCUUUAUGCAGAAGUAGACAGGAAGUGAAACUAGGCAGAGUGCACUGCAGAGUUGUUUUGAUCGAAACUAUGUGUGACUAUGUAUGACUGAUUAUGUUGUGCGCAUUUGGCUGCUAAUGCUUCAGAUCUGCUCAAGAUUUAGCCUGUGCACAUCCCCUUCCAGAAAGUAAUGCUUGAAUA